rnacentral:lncRNA from 1 species
UUCUAACAGAAAUAUAAAACGCAAAACCUCUUUUUGGAUUUUUGAGUUACAACACACUUUUUCAAAUACAAAGUAGGAAGUACAAUACCAAAAGACUCGAUUACUAUACAAAACUAGAAAGUCAAAGACGACAUAAAAAGAAGAACAGACUCAUAAAAAAUAAAAAUAAAAAUCUCCUUAAGUAAUUCCUGAAUGAGCGAUCAUGACUGGAUGGUAUAGGAGUGUCUGUCAUGCUCAAACUCCGAUAAGUAGACCCACACCUGUAUGAGAAAAUUAAGACCAAAUAAAGUUAAAGACCUACAACGCUAUGUGAUACAAUAACCCUUACUGUUGGACGCAUGCAAAACAUGAUUGCGACUAUUUUUCUAAAAUUAACCUAUGUGACUAAAAGUGGCUAAAAAUACAAGAUUUAGCUAAGACCCCGCGAAGCCAAGAACCUAAACUCGCUAAGAAGAUCGGACCCUAUGUAGGCUGCCUACGUAUAUCGCCCAAAAGACGAGAAUCAGGUAUGCGUAGUUCGGGCAGAUUGGAUAGGGGCGAGAAUUAAAAAAAUAACUAAUUUAGAGAAAAUAUGUUUUUUGUCUUUUUUUUUUUAGAAAAAUGAUGAAACAUGUAAACUCCUUUUGGAUUUUCUUUUCCUUUUUUUUAUUUUUUGAUUUUCGGAAAAUGAUUAAAAAGUGCAAAAUCUUUUCUUUUUUUUUUGAAUUUUUCAUGUUUUUUUUCCUUUUUUUAACAAAAAUGUGAACGAAAACAUAAUUGGGCCCUACUUGCUUUAUUUUCACACUUCACCAUCUUUUUUUCUUUUUCAUUUUCCCUUAACUAUCAUUGGUCCGCCAAAUGACCCUUUUACCCUUGAAAAAUGCAACAUGUAGCACAUAGGAUGCAUCAAGUUGGUCUGUUAUUUUGGGUACACCUGUCCUAGACGGACCCAACCCCUGUGUUGAGUCCCCAAAGUUAAAUGCACAUGAUGUAAAUAAACGUUCCUACUAGGGAUCCGGCAUGAGGUUAUGUUAUUCUAAGUUUAAACCUGAGGUUGUGUUCUUGACCUGGCUUACCCGAGCAGACAACUCGAGCCGAAGAGGGGGCAACGUACCGGAAGCACUAAAGUCUACCCGGCCUUGUUGCUGGCCCAACCUCAUUCUAUUUGGUAUAACUUCUACAGAAAAAGCGGGCCACGCGAACGUGUGCACCAUUUUCAGAAGACUCAGAGGGGUGGCGUAAGAAGAUAGUUAUUUACAAUUCAAAUAAUAUCAAAGCGGUAAAUAGACAGCAAUUAACACAAAAGGUUCACAAAAUACAGUAAUAUUAACAAUAAAUAAAGCCAAAUAAAAUCAUAUUAAAAAGCUCGAAUUCUUGAACCCUGAACCAGAGAUUCUAGGUUCUUGUCCCCAGCAGAGUCGCCAGAGUUGUCACACCUCCUUUUUUUACACCGGAAGCGGGGUAAAGGGAGUUUUUUCCAAUUAAAGUGACAAUCGAAACGGGAUUAAAUAUUAGAUUCAGAGUUGCCACUUGGGAUAAUUUAUGGUGUCCCAAAUCACCGGUUUAAAAUCCCGAAUCGAGGAAAUUGACUCUUACUUACGGUCUGUGAACACAGAAAUCCGGGUAAGAAAUUCUGUUAACCGGGAGAAGGUGUUAGGAAUUCACGGGUUUCGUGGUUUUAGCACGGUUGCUUUGAUCAUACUUGGCUUAUUAUAUUGUUUGACUACUCAUUUAGAACUUAUGUGCAUUCACCUCUUUUAAUUAAAAAAUUAUCCUAAAACGAGUCACGCAUACGUGUACUCAUUUCGUUUGGCAUGUCAAAAAUCAUGUCACGCGUACGUGUCCACAAUUCCUAACACUAACUAUUUAAGAAACGUUUGGUCAAAGUUGCGCGAAAACACAUACCUUAAUUUUUUUUGGAAAAGAUCGUAAUUAUAUCACGUGAAAGAAAAUAGUAAAGGACAAUGACCGGCUAAGAAUUUUCAAUCCCAAUAUUAUUCACUGACCAAAACGAGAGAAGAAAAAGCUAACAGAAAAUUCUCUGACUAAUUUUGGCUAUAGAUAUCAAAAGUCUAUAUUCAAUUUUUAAGACCAAUUAAUCGAUAACUCUGGUAUGUCAGAACUAAUGAAAAUUUUUAAAGAAAAAUUAAAAGAACUAAGGAAGAAACAUACCUUAUGUUUUCAUAUUGUCCAACAACGAAAAGAAGAAAAGGAAAAAAUCAUUUAAAGAGCCAAUUGAAAUUUUUUGUUUAGCCGUCCAAAUGGCAAAUAAGCUCAACAAAUAUAUCCAUUGUAACAGUUCUAUAUAUGAUCAAAUCUACGCUCACUCGAGCAUUAGCAGAAUUUAAUAUACGAAUUUGAAGAACAAACCAACAGUCAAAAUAAGACAAACUAAAUAAAACGACAUUGUUAAACCCCCAACGAUAACUUCUUUUAAUGGCUCAUCAAGCUCGAUUCACAACAGAAAUAAAGGGAUGAAAUAGAUGAACCUGCUUUAAUAUAUGAGAAAUCUGAAAGUACAGGGCUUCAAAUCUAACUGAGAAAAACAACAACGAAAUCGAGCAUGAACUGCGAACCCGAAUCGGAAACACAAACCACACCUCGAACGAAAACUUCGACUACGCAGCAGUCAAACUGUUUCUCUGCCUUCCUUCCCAAUUUUUAUUCCCAAUUCUUCCCCCAAUCUCUGUCUGUGUGUGCGUGUUUUGUGGAGGAUGGAAAGGCUGGUGGCGAUGAUGAGAGAAUGAGGGGGAAGACGAUGGAAAAUGAGGAGGGUCGCUGAGUCUGUUCAACGGCUGAAGAAGAUGAAGCUAGGGGUGUUGUUUUUUGUUCAGAAAAAAGCCAUGGAAGGCUGCUUGAAGAAGAUGAUAGAUAGGGGGGUCCGAUUUUUUGUUUUUGCAGCUGAUAGCUAAGUCUAGGUGUCUAGGUCUAGGGUUAUUUAAGGGUGAAGGGUUAUUUUAGGUUUUAAAAUCUGAUGGGCUAAGGUAUUGAGCUUUAAAACUUGGGACUUUAUAAGCAAAUUUGCUUAAAAUUAGCUUAAUUAACUAAGAAUCUAUCGGGGCAUUUGCUUCUAUAUUCGCUUUUUGGAUCACGUUU